rnacentral:rRNA from 1 species
GCGAUACAGGGUGACAGCCCCGUACACAAAAAUGCACAUAUUGUGAGCUCGAUGAGUAGGGCGGGACACGUGGUAUCCUGUCUGAAUAUGGGGGGACCAUCCUCCAAGGCUAAAUACUCCUGACUGACCGAUAGUGAACCAGUACCGUGAGGGAAAGGCGAAAAGAACCCCGGCGAGGGGAGUGAAAAAGAACCUGAAACCGUGUACGUACAAGCAGUGGGAGCACGCUUAGGCGUGUGACUGCGUACCUUUUGUAUAAUGGGUCAGCGACUUAUAUUCUGUAGCAAGGUUAACCGAAUAGGGGAGCCGAAGGGAAACCGAGUCUUAACUGGGCGUUAAGUUGCAGGGUAUAGACCCGAAACCCGGUGAUCUAGCCAUGGGCAGGUUGAAGGUUGGGUAACACUAACUGGAGGACCGAACCGACUAAUGUUGAAAAAUUAGCGGAUGACUUGUGGCUGGGGGUGAAAGGCCAAUCAAACCGGGAGAUAGCUGGUUCUCCCCGAAAGCUAUUUAGGUAGCGCCUCGUGAAUUCAUCUCCGGGGGUAGAGCACUGUUUCGGCAAGGGGGUCAUCCCGACUUACCAACCCGAUGCAAACUGCGAAUACCGGAGAAUGUUAUCACGGGAGACACACGGCGGGUGCUAACGUCCGUCGUGAAGAGGGAAACAACCCAGACCGCCAGCUAAGGUCCCAAAGUCAUGGUUAAGUGGGAAACGAUGUGGGAAGGCCCAGACAGCCAGGAUGUUGGCUUAGAAGCAGCCAUCAUUUAAAGAAAGCGUAAUAGCUCACUGGUCGAGUCGGCCUGCGCGGAAGAUGUAACGGGGCUAAACCAUGCACCGAAGCUGCGGCAGCGACGCUGAUGCGUUGUUGGGUAGGGGAGCGUUCUGUAAGCCUGCGAAGGUGUGCUGUGAGGCAUGCUGGAGGUAUCAGAAGUGCGAAUGCUGACAUAAGUAACGAUAAAGCGGGUGAAAAGCCCGCUCGCCGGAAGACCAAGGGUUCCUGUCCAACGUUAAUCGGGGCAGGGUGAGUCGACCCCUAAGGCGAGGCCGAAAGGCGUAGUCGAUGGGAAACAGGUUAAUAUUCCUGUACUUGGUGUUACUGCGAAGGGGGGACGGAGAAGGCUAUGUUGGCCGGGCGACGGUUGUCCCGGUUUAAGCGUGUAGGCUGGUUUUCCAGGCAAAUCCGGAAAAUCAAGGCUGAGGCGUGAUGACGAGGCACUACGGUGCUGAAGCAACAAAUGCCCUGCUUCCAGGAAAAGCCUCUAAGCAUCAGGUAACAUCAAAUCGUACCCCAAACCGACACAGGUGGUCAGGUAGAGAAUACCAAGGCGCUUGAGAGAACUCGGGUGAAGGAACUAGGCAAAAUGGUGCCGUAACUUCGGGAGAAGGCACGCUGAUAUGUAGGUGAAGUCCCUCGCGGAUGGAGCUGAAAUCAGUCGAAGAUACCAGCUGGCUGCAACUGUUUAUUAAAAACACAGCACUGUGCAAACACGAAAGUGGACGUAUACGGUGUGACGCCUGCCCGGUGCCGGAAGGUUAAUUGAUGGGGUCAGCGCAAGCGAAGCUCUUGAUCGAAGCCCCGGUAAACGGCGGCCGUAACUAUAACGGUCCUAAGGUAGCGAAAUUCCUUGUCGGGUAAGUUCCGACCUGCACGAAUGGCGUAAUGAUGGCCAGGCUGUCUCCACCCGAGACUCAGUGAAAUUGAACUCGCUGUGAAGAUGCAGUGUACCCGCGGCAAGACGGAAAGACCCCGUGAACCUUUACUAUAGCUUGACACUGAACAUUGAGCCUUGAUGUGUAGGAUAGGUGGGAGGCUUUGAAGUGUGGACGCCAGUCUGCAUGGAGCCGACCUUGAAAUACCACCCUUUAAUGUUUGAUGUUCUAACGUGGACCCGUAAUCCGGGUUGCGGACAGUGUCUGGUGGGUAGUUUGACUGGGGCGGUCUCCUCCUAAAGAGUAACGGAGGAGCACGAAGGUUGGCUAAUCCUGGUCGGACAUCAGGAGGUUAGUGCAAUGGCAUAAGCCAGCUUGACUGCGAGCGUGACGGCGCGAGCAGGUGCGAAAGCAGGUCAUAGUGAUCCGGUGGUUCUGAAUGGAAGGGCCAUCGCUCAACGGAUAAAAGGUACUCCGGGGAUAACAGGCUGAUACCGCCCAAGAGUUCAUAUCGACGGCGGUGUUUGGCACCUCGAUGUCGGCUCAUCACAUCCUGGGGCUGAAGUAGGUCCCAAGGGUAUGGCUGUUCGCCAUUUAAAGUGGUACGCGAGCUGGGUUUAGAACGUCGUGAGACAGUUCGGUCCCUAUCUGCCGUGGGCGCUGGAGAACUGAGGGGGGCUGCUCCUAGUACGAGAGGACCGGAGUGGACGCAUCACUGGUGUUCGGGUUGUCAUGCCAAUGGCACUGCCCGGUAGCUAAAUGCGGAAGAGAUAAGUGCUGAAAGCAUCUAAGCACGAAACUUGCCCCGAGAUGAGUUCUCCCUGACUCCUUGAGAGUCCUGAAGGAACGUUGAAGACGACGACGUUGAU